CCUUGGCAGGCUCAGUGUUUACUUGAUGCCUUAAUUAUUUUUGUUUUUAAAAUAAGAUGUGAUCCAGGAACUGGAGCUGAGUUGACCUUCUAUGAUGCCAUUGUUGGCGUGGUGCAAUGCUGGUUACAGUGUUGUAAGUGAUGGGACUUGUUAGAGACAAGAGGGAAUUCUUUCCACUUCAUGUGGCAAAGCAAAACAAGUUUUACUAGGAGCUUGCAUAAGAGGAUUUCUGUUUUAGCUUGGGUGUUCCUGAGGUAAUUAUGUGUUUACUGGGAUAAUUUUAGCCAUUUGUUAUUUGUUGUGAAAGACUGAUAUUUUCAGUGUAGUGCAUAGGAUGGAAGUGGUAAAACAACAAAGGCUGUUCCAGAACCCCUCUUCAUUUAUCCUCAAGGAUAAACAAACCUUCUAGCUACAGAACAAGAGGAAAUGGCCUCAGGCUGUGCCAGGGGAGCUUCAGGUUGGACAUCAGGAGGAAUUUCUUUGCUGCAAGGGUGAUUAAACAUUGGACUGGGCUGGCCAGGGAGGUGAGGGAGUCAUGGUCCCUGGAGGUGUUCAGGAGAUGACUGGAUAUGGCACUCAGUGCUCUGCUUUAGUUCAUAUGGUGGUGCUUAGCCAAAGGUUGGACUUGAUGCUUUUGGAGGUCUUUUCCAUCCUAAAUGAGUCUACAAUUCUUAAUUUUUCCCUAUAUACAGGUUAGAGAUACAGAUCAAUGGAAUUCACCACAAACUACUCCUGUUUCUACUGGAUUCUGAGAACUUGGAUAAACUGGCUUUCUUGAGCUUAUUUAGAUCCUUCAUGUUCAGGACUUGCAGCAACUGCACUUUGCUGUGUUCAGUCUCUGUUUUUGAGGUGCCAGGCUUGGGGGCUACAGCCUGGAGGAACUGGACAAGCACAUCUCUCUGCUCCAUGAGUACAAUGAAAUCAAAGAUGCUGGGCAGAUGCUCCUGGGCAAGCUAGCUGUUAUCCGAGGGGUCACUACAAAACAGCUCUAUCCUGAGUAUGAC